CCACAUGAUUGGAAGGGCUUGAGAAUGGGGCGAUUACUUAAUCGAUACAUGUAUAGAAACCCGAUAGAAAAGAACGUAGAAAAUUUACUUUAUAAGGAAAACGAUUGGGCAAGAUGUGGGUGAAAAUAAGGCAUUAUCAAAAAAUUUCUAUGACAAAGGUGAUAUGAUACAAAGCAGAUCAUUUCAAGGCCCCCCACAAGGAGAUACCUGGGAAAAAGACAAAGGUAUGAUCUACCACUUUUACAAUAACUAAUCAAUCAAACGUUUCUUUCGACGCUUUUCUUAGGAGAACCUCGUCAAUAAAGGACGCAGGCAUAUUUAGGUCUAGGCAUAAAGAAAACACACCUACUUAAACUGCAGUACUGGAGCAAUACGUAUCAAAAGACCGAAAAAGACAAACUACCAGCACUUCUGUGAAGUGCAGUCAGCAAUACAGCAAAAAAGGAAAGUAAAGCAGAUGCCAAAACGUAUUCUCCUUAUUAUGGUGAAAACAUCUAAAAUCAUUUAAUUCAACAAUGCCAACAUGCCUGAAUGGAAGUUUUUCAAUACCAGAGGACAAAUUAUUUUUUAGACCAGAUACACUGCAGUAUUAUUUUAUCAAUGCAUGCAUCGCUUGAAGUUGUGAGCAAUAACAAGACUCCUAUAUAUAAUUAUCUUGGACUUCAGGCACUUUCAUCAUCUCCCUUUAAUGCACCUACAACACCUGGUCCCAUUUAGGAAAACAAAUUCCAGAGUACGAAAGAAAAAAUCAUUAUCAAAUUCCCCGCCAAUUCAGUAAUUGUUGACACAGAUCAGAUAUAAGGAAUUGUUUCCGAACCAAUUCAGAAAAUUAUAACAAGGAUCAUGAUAUUGUCCCUAAAUUGUCAAAAAUUGUUCUCUCCUUCACAAUUCCCACUCUUUGCCAUCUCUAAGCUAAUGAAAAUGAGCAUCCCUCUAAGUAAUUUGCUGCCCUAAUCUCAGCCGAGGAAUCAUCCGUUAUUUCUUUCUAUACUUCAAUGUGUCAAACAGCAAGGUCAUGAGACCAACAAUGUGUCAAACAGCAAGGCUGAGACCAACAAUGUGUCAAACAGCAAGGCCACGAGACCAAAGUUACUUCAAUGUUGGCGUGCUCAUUCACAUUCUUGACUUACUAUACGUUGUUGUUAAGAUCAUGACACCAAAAACACUUCAAAGUGGUAAGGUAAAUCUCAUUCUUCACCUUGUAAUCAAUAGUCUUGCACAUAGAGGAAGACCGCAACUAUGCCUAGUACAUGGAUUAAUUAUCUUACAUAUUGGUGUUGCAGUUUCACCAACUUAAGCAUGAAGCUAACCAGCAAAUAUCCCUAGUACUAAUUACCUACAAUCCGUAGACUAUAAUGGCAAAGGUUCUUACAUGGACAGACAGAUGUAGCAGUCUAAUUGUGUUCGAGAGCGCCCUCAUAUUGGCAAUAGGCUUUAAGGUGCUUAAAGAAGCUAUGUCUACUAGAAGAGAAUGGAAAUUUAUAGAAAGAGAUAAAAAGAAAAUAUACAAAAUUUAGACCAAUUACUUCUAAAUCAAAUUUAAUUUUGGGAUAAAAGCCGACAAUGCAAUAAAUAAUGUAAAAUCAGGAUGCAACCAGCUUUAUAACUAAUUCUUUAUGAAUUAUGUAAUAAACUUCAAUUCACAAGAAUGAAUAUAGGCCUUCCAAUACACAUCUUGAAUUUCAAUGGUAACAUAAAAUAUGAGCCUUAAUCUGUUCAUUAAUUGACAACAGAAUUACAAAUGUUCCACUGUCACAGACAAGAACUAUCAAACAAAUGUUAGAGCUAAAAAAGGUUCCUUACAGUGUGAUCCACAAUAACAGAACCAAAUAAUCAAGCUAGUUACAAGUUAGUAAGGAGCAGAGCUACUAACCGGAGGAGGAAAUAAAUUAUCUUUGAAGAGAAUACAAGUUGCUCAUACAAACAGAAUUCAGCACCAAAAAACUUAUUCACUCUUCACCCUCGCAGAGUUCAUCACUCGAUUCACCCUCAGAUAAUUCAUCACUCGUUUCAACCUCUUCCUCCCCGGAUUCCUCACUUCUUAGCUCAUCAUUCUCGACCAACGAAUUGUUGCCGUCGUGAUUCAAUGACCCAUCCCCGCGAUAGAGAAGCCCCGUCUGCAUGACACGGUAGAAUUUAUCUCUAUGUCGGACAAGAGGGUGGGGGUCAACCAGUUUCCCACUCUGGUACCCUUCCCUGAGAGUAAUAGUGGUCGUUUUACACUUCAGUGAGAGGUAAAAGAUGCCGGGAUACCGAGUGAAAAUCCGGGUAAACUUGUGCGGAAGAUUCAACUCUUCCCUCAAGCUCCUCAAGUAGUUCCUCUUUGUUUUCUUGUGCAGAGUUAAACUCAAAAGCUCGUGCAGAACCCCAACCACGCGCUUCUCCAUCAAAUCGCUGUUGGGAUCAAUCUUGGAGGAAUCAACAUAGGGAGAAACAUAAGGCAGCUUCUGAAACUCCUCCAUCCACGUCCUCACCUUCUUCUGCGCGCCGUAACCCCUGGGAAACUUCAUCGGGAAAGCCAAUGCCGAUUGUCCCCGCUUGAAUUCCCGGUAGUGGGUCCCACACUCGUUUCUCUGUUGCAGCGCGGACACAGCGAAUUCCUCAGGCCAUCGUGCUAGUUUGAGCGAAACGACGCCGUUGGACUUGACAAACUGGAAGUCGUUAGGGAAGUUGGGGACGAGGGUUUUCUCGAAGGAGUCGGGUAAGCCGAGGUCCCACUUGAGCGAGUGGAGGGAACAGAGGGGCAGGGCGCGUGAGCGGGUCAUCAUGAGGAGCUUGGAGAGGCGUUCGACUGCGUUGUUUUGGUGAGCUUGGUGGAGUGCGAGUUCCUGGGAGUGGAGAAAAAGUGCAGUGUCAGUGAGGCGGAAGCAGGGGAGGGAGGGCCAGCGCGGGUGCGGGAACUCUUGGAAGAGGGUGGGGUAGCGGCGGAGGAAGCGGAGAACGGGAACGGUGAGGCCGAGGAGCUUCUGCCAGUCUGCAACGGAUUUCGCCGUGAGGAAGGCGGUGGAAGAGCGAUUGAUAGCGUCUUUCAGGAGACAGGCCGCUUUGAGAUCGGUUUCCUUGUCGAUGACGUGAUCGAGGCUUCGGUUCUUCACCCAUUUCAAACGCACUUUCACUAUGCCCCGCCAUUGCUGCCUCAUCCACGGAAUGACGCCAUUUUUGUUCAUCUUCAACGAUCUUUCCCAAAACCCUCUUCGUGUUCAACCAUCAUCACCGUCUGCCAAUGGGCCCCCACCUACUGUCCAAUAAAAACAUCGGCCCAAAAGCUUAGACUUACUGGCCCAACUAAAACACCAAUUAUCCUGAGGAGAAAAAAAAAGUGAAAAAUAGAGUGAAAAUUAUUUUCUUUUAAAUUAAAAAGCAUUAUUAUUAUAGUAUUAUUUUUACAAUUGAUUAAUGAAUUAUAUUGUAAUUUUUUUUCUCAUCACGUUUUACAUAAAAAGUGAGAUUUAUAAACAUUUUAUCUUCGCCUACUAAACCACUUUUUUUUUACUCACGUUCUUCCUCAUUUUCCUUUUCAUUUAUACUAAACUCACCCUUAAAAUCAAUUUAUAAAGCAUGAAUUAUUUUUAAUUCUAUAUGUAGAUGUUUAUUUUGAAAAAUACUUGUGUACUUUAAUGUAUCUAUUUCUGGCAUAUCCCAACACAAACCAGCUUUACUUUAUUUUUAAGAAAAGAUAGUUUGAUUGGAUAUACUCUCAAGUUGCUUCUAUGGCAUUGAUAAUCUACUUUUAAUAUUUUUUUGUAUGAAAUAUUUUAUUACAAAAUUAUAUAAAGGUAUAAAUAUUUAUGAACAAAAUACUGUUAUUAUUAACAUAUUUGAUAGUAUUUAGCUUUUUAGAGUUUGUAUAUGUUCUAUCCAAUUCCUUCGUUUUGUUAAUUUGUAAGCCAAAUAAACGAAUCUAUCGAACUGAAUUAUAACAAAUGCUAAAACCAUUGUUAAAAUAACAUAUGUGUAUAAUUACACCAAAUAUCACACUAUCACUAAUUUAAUAAAAAAAAAAUUGUUAGAUUAUAAUUUUAUAUUGUAAUUGUUCACUUAAAAUUAAUAAAAAUAAUAUGAUGAUCAAAUUAUUUAUAUUUUAGUAUAUUUUAGAAAAUAUAUCAUAUCGAUUUUGAUGUACAUAAAAUAUAUGUAAAAUAUUUUUGGAUUAAUAUAAAAUUUUGUAAGUAGUGAAUUAAAAAAUGAUAUAAUAAAAGAGAUAUUUGAGAAUGUAACAUUUACUUGAACUAAAAAGAACGUAGAUUGAUGUAACGUAAUGUUUGUGUAAGUAAAGAUCAGAACAGGGAAAAUAUAAGAAAAACAAUUUAUCUUAUGACUCUUAGUCCUAAAACUAGAUAGAUGUAUAAAAGAAUGUUAUUUAAUAUUUUUUUUAAAGCUAAAAUAGAUGUAUCAAACUUCAAACAUUUAAAUUGUAUUAUACACUUUUUAACGACUUAGUUAGCAUUUUUUGCAUAGUAAUCACAAAAGUUGAUAAAUUUAAUGCUAAGUGCAUUACAUAACUUCUUUGCAUAGAGUGUGACAAUCGAUCUUUGUUCGUGAAAAAACAAAUUUGAGGUAAUAUGAAAGAUUUUUUUAUUAAUACAAUACAAAUUUUUUAAGCUUAAUUUCGCAAAAUUUUAACUUUUAAAUAGAUUAUUUAUCUAGACAAGUUCAUAAGAGAUUAAGGUUGUACAUUUUAUAUUAUUCAUUUCUUACACUAAAAUUUUGAUUCUUGCUCUUUUACAAGAUAAUGUUAUUUUUUAAUCGCAUAAAGUACAAAUUCACUUUUCAUUAAAUAAACCCAAGUUUGUUAAAAUAUGCAUCAUUUCAAUGAAAAUUAUAAAUAUUUAAAACAAAAAUUUGACAACUACGAUUCCCAAAUUCCUGAAUAAAUGAAAUAGAAAUUUGAGUUGUAUAUAUCUUUUUUUUUUUUUUAACUUAUCUAUUUUCUUAAUUUAAUUAACACAACCCACAAUCUAAAAAGUAAAGUUGCUUCAGAAUUGGAAUCAUUAUCUUUAAUUUCAUCAAACUUGACUUAUCCAAAUGGUCAUAAAAAACUUUGGAACUAAAGUUCGAGAACAAGACACAAAAAACUAAUUUUCAAAUAAUAAAGGCUUUGUGAUGUCUGUUUCUGUGAAUGAAAGAACCUAUACUAUGUUUAUAUAUGACAAAGCAAUUGACAUCAAAUGUUACUGAAAAAUUUUAUGAACGAGUCAAAUGAGUAAGAGAAUAAUUCCACAAAGAUCAAAGCAAAAUUUAAAUUUAGAAGACAUAAAAGUUACUUGACGUAUGUCUUGAGAUGCAACUUUGGAAUCAUCAGCCAAACUAACAAGUAAAAAGAAAUUAUCAAAGAAAUCUUAGUCGAGUUUCCAACUUCAAUCGUCACAUUCUCCUUGGUUGUUCCCAUCACGGUCGGUCUAUUCUUUGAAUUGCAUAAAAAAGACAUUGAAUACCAAAAAUUGAGCUUAAAAAAAGAUCAAGAUGCAUAGGUGGAUAUAAGCAUCUCUAAGUUCGACUCACUGCAGUAGAACAUAUGGCUAGAAGUCAAACUUUUACAACUGAAAUUUAUUUUCAGUGGGAAUAACUGAUUAAUAUAAUUCUCCCAAUGGUCAUACACAUGGUUUCCUUGAACCAUAACUACAUCACGAUAAGUAAUUUUUUUCAAUUGCAUUUAACCACUAUAAUAGUAAUUAUGGUUAUCAAACGAGUUUACAUUCUUAAACUUGACUUUCGAAUUAACUCAUAAAUAAACUUGUUUUUUAAAUUGACUCGAUGAAAUCCACUAUGAAAUCAAUAUUUAAUGAAAAAAUUUUAAUAUUAUGUUUCAAAAUACAUUAAAAUUAAUUAUACUAAUUCAAAUAUUUAUGUUUUACAAUAUUUCUAUGAAAAAUAUAUCUAUAAAUUUUAUUUAUUUCAAAUUUUAUAAUUUUAUAAAUUUACUUGAAUUAAGAUAUUAUUCAUAAAUUUUUUUUAUCUGAAAUAAACUCUUACUAAUUUAUGAAUCGAGUUUACAAGUCAAGUUUACUCUACUCUUACAAAUUUACAUAAACUCUCGAAUUUGACAAUCUUGAUACCAAUUGCUAAAAAAAGAACGCGACCUAAUAAGCAAUUUCAAGUGCAAAACGUCAAGGAGAAAAGAUCAGAACUAAGGAAAAAACCUAAAACCAAGGGUACAAAUCAAGAACCAAAUUGAUAAAAACUAGAAAAUCCAAAAAAGGAAAGCUUUAUAAAAGCUGCACAAUAAAUUAUAAACAAUUUUUAACAGAUAAUAUAUACAUAUAUAUGCCACUAAGAAUGGAUAAUGCUCAGCAAUUCAGUCUAGAUGGUGUUCACGUAAGACUUAAACUACUUUUGAGUAACAACUAUGACAGACAAACUCAUUUAAUAACUUUUGAUUGAACAAAAGUAAUAAAAAAUUACACUUGGGUGGUAAAAAUAAAUUAAAUCUAGCGGUAAGGAUCACUGUCAAGUAUUCUCGGUAGUGGUGACCACUUUCUUUUUCAUAUCAAUAUACCAUUUUGAAUUUGUCAACUUUAUGAUGAUCACUGCAUAUGCAAAACAACCUAAACUGUGAAUAUUAUCGCUACAGUAGUGAGAUAUUGAAGUCCAAGGCCAAUCAGCCACAUGAUUGGAAGGGCUUGAGAAUGAGGCGACUAGUUAAUUGAUACAUGUUUAGAAACCCAAUAGAAACGAACGUAGAAAAUUUACUUUAUAAGGAAAACGAUUGGGCAAGAUGUGGGCGAAAAUAAGGCAUUAUCAUAAUUUUUCUAUGACAAAGGUUACAUGAUACAAAGCAGAUGAUCAUUUCAAGGCCCCCCACAAGGAGAUACCUGGGAAAAAGACAAAGGUAUGAUCUACCACUUUUACAAUAACUUAUCAAUCAAACGUUUCUUUCGACGCUUCUCAUUGUGCCUCUCUGGA
rnacentral:lncRNA from 1 species